AGGAGGCAAGGGGAAACCGGGAGGAUUAUGGGAAAGACCCUGCACAGCUCGGCAAGGACACGGAUAUAGGCGGCAACACACAGAUCGGAGGUUACAGAAAAUGACACGGGGACCACAAGUUCUAUGGUAGCCUGCCCGGGCAGCAGAGGACAGUAGAAGGUUAUAGAGGAAAUGACACGGGGACCACAAGUUCUAUGGUAGACUGCCCGGGCAGCAGAGGACAGUAGAAGGUUAUAGAGGAAAUGACACGGGGACCACAAGUUCUAUGGCAGACUGCCCGGGGAGCAGAGGACAGUGCAAGGUUAUAGAGGAAAUGACACGGGGACCACAAGUUCUAUGGCAGACUGCCCGGGCAGCAGAGGACAGUA